rnacentral:lncRNA from 1 species
UUAUAAUAUUUUUUAUAAAUUAAAAAUUAAAAUAAAAUAAAAAAUUUACACAAUAAAUCUAUAAAUAAAUAUCAUUAUUUUAUUAUAUUAAAUUAAAAUUAUAAGAGGUGUAAAAUAAAAAUAAAAAGCUAUACAAAUAGGCCGUCAAAUGUCAGCAUCUGUAAAAGAAGAACGGGCUGGAGAAGGAGAGUGCUCGGAUGAGCUCGAACUGGCCUGCUGCUACCUCAUCAGCUGCAUUAUUUGCUCCAUCUGCGCUAUCCACUCCAUCACCU